rnacentral:rRNA from 1 species
GACGUAGGAGGCGAGCGUUAUCCGGAUUCACUGGGCGUAAAGCGCAUGUAGGCGGUUGGAUAAGUCUGUUGUUAAAGCCCCCCGGCUCAACUGGGGGGAGGUCAAUGGAGACUGUUCGACUUGAGGGCAACAGAGGCACAUGGAACUCCCGGUGUAGCGGUGGAAUGCGUAGAGAUCGGGAAGAACACCCGUGGCGAAGGCGGUGUGCUGGGUUGCAACUGACGCUGAGACGCGAAAGCGUGGGGAGCGAACAGG